CCAAGUAGUAUCCACAGUGACGUAACUAAAAAAAUAAAUUAGAAGGGUCAAAGUUUAGUAUUUCUUACAUCGUCUACAUUCGAGUAGCUUGUAUCGCUCAACCCUUACUAACUUGAAUAAAAAAUAUAUAAAAUAUCUACGAUGAUUGUUCAUAUUUUGAGUUAUUUUUUCAGAUUGUAAAAUAACAUAUAAUAUUAAUUAGUUUAAGCGUCAAACUUUAUACUAAUUAUGUGAUAUAAGCAUGAAAAUAGUGAUUGUAUCAACCUCUCAUGGGUUGUAUGAAAAAAGUGAGAGAGGUCAUUUGAACCCUCUCACUCUCAUGUGGCUACCCCUAUCCAUGAUAUCGAACACCCUUGGUCCUUCUCUCAAUCGGGAAGGAGCAAGAUAUGUGGUAUAUGUGACUAUAUAUGUGACUAUAGACAGUAUACAUUGUUUCAUCACUUAACUUAGGCGUUGUUAUGAAAGAAUGUAUACUCUCAUCGUCGGGUCACAUAUUCAUAGAUGACAGACCAUACAUUUAAUAGGAACCGUUAGACUACAUUUUGGCAUGCCGGUUAUAUAAUAUCUCCCACACAAGUAGUGACAUGUCAUAAUGCUUAAACGUCUACGUAAGCGAAGAACUUGACAACCCUUUCAAUCCUAUUAUCUAUAAAUAAAGCGCAAGAAAUCUUAAAUCAAGUAUGAUUCUAUGUUCCGACAUCAUUAGGCUACCAUAAACGUUAGUCACAACUAUUUUGUAGAUUUAAUCAAGAUCAAUAUUAGCACUUGCAUCCUUAACAGUUAAUUUGCACCCAAAUUAAUCAUCAGACUGCUACAUGAUCAAGUCUUGUCUCAAAAUGUUCAUCCUAACAUGAAAUUAGGAUAAAAAAUCCCAAGUCCUACUUUACUGUUAAGCUGUUCCCAUUUACAAAACCGGUGCGGACUUAGCAAAAAGACUUACUUGUCCACCCCCUACCCCUCUCCAAAAAGAAAAAAAAGAAUAAGAAGGAAUAAGUAAGCAGAAAGAAAAUACAAACAUGAAUGGAGGACAAUAAUUAGCCUUGUUUUCUUGUUUAUUAAUAUUUCUUCAUCCCAGUGCCACACCAUUAAAAGCACAUACGGACGACUGAGAUCAGCAGCCACUGCUUGCCUUCUUGAGCGUCCUGUCCUUCAUGUGACCAAUUGUCACUGAACCACGUCUCUGUCUCUUCUCCUCUUCCUCCUCUUCACUUUUCUGAGUUUCUCUCUGCAUUUCCAUGCAGCUUGGAGAUUAAAUUCAUAUAAAAUUUGACUAGAAUUUCUGUGACUCAUCCGUACUACACUGUGCUUGCUUGGAUUGAUCAAACAAUCCAUUGAAAGCAUCAAUGCAGUGAAAGCUUUGGCAAGUUUCCAAACUCAGUGCAGUGGAAUCAAUCCUGUUUUGUGUUUAAUAGUCACUUUCACAAGUUUGUGAUUCUGUGCUGGUUUCCUUUGAGAGGUGAAGAGAAACACAACCCAGUUUGGGAAAGUUAAGUGAUUGGUUCUUGUUGGGCCCAAGUUGUUGUUCAAAUUUUUGACAAAACCCAGAUCUUUCAUUGGCUUUCUUGCACUUGUGUUUUAUUACUUUUAUGUAUGAAUGUUGUAAACUAGGCUCCCACCAUUAAAGAGCUCAGUGCUUAUCCUUCUUGGGUUUUGUAACAGAUUAGCUUUCUGGAGCAGAAAUUCAAGUAGCUCAUUUAUUAGAUUGAAACUAACAUAUUGUUUCUUUUCCUUCUUCUUGUUAUUUUAGUGUAUUCCUUUUCUACUGGUCCAGUUGGGUUUUGAGUUAUAGGCAUUAGCUGCUUCUCUUUCUUCUCCAAAUCACCAAAUUCCUUAUAGAAGUUAAUUGCUAUCUUGAUUGUUGAAGACUCUGCUUCACUAAGAAGGCCAUUCUGGUACUUGGUUCCAGUUCUGAGCCAAAAACCAUCUGGGUUAUUGCUAAAGACACCAAGUACUGUGAACUUGAGCUGAAAAGCAAGUAGUACUUUAUAGGUUUCUUUAGUAGAAUUCUUUUGUUAAAGACUAGAAACCAAGAUUUGAAUCUGCUGCCCAGAAAUGAAGAAUCAAGGAAGAGUUUAUCUGCAUCUGUUCUGAUUCAGUUUAAAGCUCCCUGUUUCAAGUUUGAAAAGUCAAAGUUUUAUGCUUGGAAAUGGGUUCUAGGCCCCAGAACCAGGAGAGAGUGCCAGAUAAUCUGAGAAAGCAGCUUGCUAUUGCUGUGAGAAGUAUCCAAUGGAGCUAUGCAAUCUUCUGGUCCAUUUCACCAAGACAACCAGGGUAUUCAUACUUUCAUUUUUUUGCUCUGUUUGGGUUUAUUGAAUUUUUCAUAAACUGUGAAUCUUGGUAUUAAGAA
rnacentral:lncRNA from 1 species